rnacentral:rRNA from 1 species
GGGUUGUGAGGUUAAGCGACUAAGCGUACACGGUGGAUGCCCUGGCAGUCAGAGGCGAUGAAGGGCGUGCUAAUCUGCGAUAAGCGCCGGUAAGGUGAUAUGAACCGUUAUAACCGGCGAUACCCGAAUGGGGAAACCCAGUGUGACUCGUCACACUAUCAUUAACUGAAUCCAUAGGUUAAUGAGGCGAACCGGGGGAACUGAAACAUCUAAGUACCCCGAGGAAAAGAAAUCAACCGAGAUUCCCCCAGUAGCGGCGAGCGAACGGGGAGGAGCCCAGAGCCU